rnacentral:lncRNA from 1 species
UAUCAAAAUACUUUUGUAUCAUAACGUAUCAUAAUUUUUCACUGAAUAUGUGCAUAAUCGAUAUACCAUAAUAUUUCAAAAGUACUUUUCUUUCAAAACAUAAUUUCAUAAAUCAUGCAUAAUUUCAGAGAAUAAUUAUUUAUUUUCAAAAUAAAUAUGAAAUGUCUCGAGAAGAUGAUUCAUUACUUACCUUUCAUAGAGCACUGAAUGA